AGCCAAAUCCUUAAUUCCCCUUCUCCUUCUCCUUCGAUUCCCCACACCCGCCGCCGCCGGGCUCUCCACCGCGCCUCCGCGCUCCACCACGGCGUUGGCCUCUCCCUCGCGCCCCCGCGUCUCUACUCCACGCUGUCGACCUCUCCACCGCGCCGGCCACCUCUCCACCUACUCCAGAGGAGCGUUGCCCUGCGGAAUGGCGUGACGGCCGUGGCGGCGCACGUCCCGGAGGUGCUGCUGCUCGUGGUGUCCAAUCCCGUCGACGACCUCACCUACCUGGCCUGAAAGCUUUCAAGCUUCCCGGCGAGCAGCGUCGGCGGCUCCGGCACCAACCUCCACUCCUCCAGGUUCCGGUUCCUUAUCAACCAGCUCCACGUCAACACCCAGGACGUGUAGGCUAUUUAACUUAUUUCUUGAUUAAGGUGUUGAUGGGCUGUAACUAUUUGCCACUCUGAAAAUAUAACACUUUUGUGCCCAGGCUAUUUAACUUGUUUCUUGAUUAAGGUGUUGAUGGGCUGUAACUAUUUGCCACUCUGAAGAUAUAAAGUGUUAUUUCUUCAGGUAUCGUAUCACUGAGGCACCCUCCCAUGCACCUGCAAGCAUGAAUGAAGGACGUGUUUUGAGGUCUAGUGUAACACAAGAUCAUGAUCAUGUAGAUCACGCGCAUCAGCCUUCCAAAGAAGCAAACAUAAGGACUGGACUCACAAUGAACCAUGAAGCCGGCGAUCCGCGUCAACUGGAUGCUUUAGCUUUCAUUUUGUACAACCGAUGUCUCAUAUUUGCGUCUUUUUGCUGUCAUUCUGUAAACCUGAUGUAUGGUGUCUUGUCUUGGUGCUUAGAACAGACUGAAGUGUAUGUAUGUGACAAUUAGUUAAUGGAAUAAAAAUGGUUUGGUGCACCUGAU